CCUACGGGCGGCAGCAGUGGGGAAUAUUGCACAAUGGGCGAAAGCCUGAUGCAGCAACGCCGCGUGAGCGAUGAAGGCCUUCGGGUCUUAAAGCUCUGUCCUCAAGGAAGAUAAUUACGUUACUUGAGGAGUAAGCUCCGGCUAACUACGUUCCAGCAGCCGCGGUAAUCUGUAGGGGGCUAGCGUUAUCCGGAAUUACUGGGCGUAAAGGGUGCGUAGGUGGUUUCUUAAGUCAGAGGUGAAAGGCUACGGCUCAAACGAAGUAAGCCUUUGAAACUGGGGAACUUGAGUGCAGGCGAGGAGAGUGGAAUUCCUAGUGUAGCGGUGAAAUGCGUAGAUAUUAGGAGGAACACCAGUCGCGAAGGCGGCUCUCUGGACUGAAACUGACACUGAGGCACGAAAGCGUGGGGAGCAAACAGGAUUAGAUACCCGAGUAGUC
rnacentral:rRNA from 1 species